AUGAUGCAGUGUGUGAUUGCAGUCGCGGACAAAGUAUUCGAUGCCUUCCUGAACAUGAUGGCGGAUAAAGCCAAGACCAAGGAGAACGAGGAGGAGCUGGAGCGGCACGCUCAGUUCCUGUUGGUGAACUUCAACCACAUCCACAAGAGGAUAAGGAGGGUGGCAGACGAGUAUCUAUCUGGUCUGGUGGAUAAGUUUCCCCACUUGCUCUGGAGCGGGACUGUGCUGAAGACCAUGCUGGACAUCCUGCAGACCCUGUCUCUGUCACUGAGCGCUGAUAUUCACAAGGAUCAGCCUUACUAUGACAUCCCCGACGCCCCCUACCGGAUCACGGUUCCUGACACGUACGAAGCCCGUGAGGUAGGCCCGACACGAUCCCCUGCACUAAGGGCCAUCUUUACCACAGUUCCCUGAGUAUGUCCACGAGAUGGUCAACCUGCAUGAGCUCACCCAGUCCCCAGCAAUUCGAGGUGUGGGUGGUGCUGGCCCCGUCCCCCAGUGAGGAGACCAAGCCAUUGCCAGGCCCCACCGUGUGCAAGGGGAGCCGGCUGCCCCCAGGUCGCUCUGUCUUCCAAGCCCAGCUCUCCCACCUCAGCCAUGUUGACUCAGCUGUAUUCUCGGUUUAGCUGCCAAAGAGGUCUUCAGCUACCAGCCAGUUUAUAGCCUCUCAAGUCUGCGUCGCACAAGCAUGAUUUUCAGGUGGACUUCACUUCUCUGAGGUGCACUGACAUUUUGUUAUUGUGGUAAUAGGGGAUCAUGCCUUUGACUUGUGCUAUCCAAUGGGGAAACUGGCAGAAUAAAUCACUCCAAAAGAGGAGGAUGUACUGGGUCUCUCCUCUCCCCAACUCGGUCUCAGAGCCCUCACUGUGGCAAGACUGCAACUCAGCUCACAGCUCCUUCAGCCUGGGCUGAGUCAUGUCCUACCUCUGGACCUCCCUGCCAGACCAGCUGUCAAUGGGGAGUUUCCCACAGAGUGGUGUGGCACCGAAGAGGAUUUUGCCACGCAGAGCCUGCCCUUCCAUCCAGUCCCAGACCCAGGACACAAGUUGCACAGUGUCCCUGUGACAUAUUAUUCAUGUAGAUUCUGCCACAAACCUUGUCCAGGAAUUACAGAUCAUAGUGUGUGUGGGCUUCCUGGCCCCAGGGGCCUUGAGGUUCAAACUUAGUGGCUGUGCUAGUCUCUUGGGCUUCUGUAGCAAAAGACAACAGACUGGGCAGCUUGAAAUGUCUUGACAGACAUUGAUUGUCUUACAGUUCUGAGGGCCGAAGUGUAAAAUCAAAGCGUUGGCAGAGCUGGUUU
rnacentral:lncRNA from 1 species